CGGGUGCACUGAUCCGGCCGGGCCUUUCCCUCUGUGGAACCCCAUGACCUUCACUGGCUGUGCGGGGGAAACAGGACUUUUACUGUGAAAAAAUUAGAGUGCUCCAGGCAGGCCUAUGCUCGAAUACAUUAGCAUGGAAUAAUAGAAUAGGACGCGUGGUUCUAUUUUGUUGGUUUCUAGGACCGCCGUAAUGAUUAAUAGGGACAGUCGGGGGCAUCAGUAUUCAAUUGUCAGAGGUGAAAUUCUUGGAUCUAUUGAAGACUAACUACUGCGAAAGCAUUUGCCAAGGAUGUUUUCAUUGAUAAGGAACGAAAGUUAGGGGAUCGAAGACGAUCAGAUACCGUCGUAGUCUUAACUAUAAACUAUGCCGACUAGGGAUCGGACGAUGUUAUUUCUUGACGCGUUCGGCACCUUUCGAGAAAUCAAAGUGCUUGGGCUCCAGGGGGAGUAUGGUCGCAAGGCUGAAACUUAAAGAAAUUGACGGAAGGGCACCACCAGGGGUGGAACCUGCGGCUUAAUUUGACUCAACACGGGGAAACUCACCAGGUCCAGACACAGUGAGGAUUGACAGAUUGAGAGCUCUUUCUUGAUUCUGUGGGUGGUGGUGCAUGGCCGUUCUUAGUUGGUGGAGUGAUUUGUCUGCUUAAUUGCGAUAACGAACGAGACCUUAACCUGCUAAAUAGCCCGUACUGCUCUGGCAGUUCGCCGGCUUCUUAGAGGGACUAUCGG
rnacentral:rRNA from 1 species